rnacentral:rRNA from 1 species
AUUGAACGCUGGCGGCAUGCCUUACACAUGCAAGUCGAACGGCAGCACGGGUGCUUGCACCUGGUGGCGAGUGGCGAACGGGUGAGUAAUACAUCGGAACAUGUCCUGUAGUGGGGGAUAGCCCGGCGAAAGCCGGAUUAAUACCGCAUACGAUCUACGGAUGAAAGCGGGGGACCUUCGGGCCUCGCGCUGUAGGGUUGGCCGAUGGCUGAUUAGCUAGUUGGUGGGGUAAAGGCCUACCAAGGCGACGAUCAGUAGCUGGUCUGAGAGGACGACCAGCCACACUGGGACUGAGAAACGGCACAGACUCCUAGGGGAGGCAGCAGUGGGGAAUUUUGGACAAUGGGCGAAAGCCUGAUCCAGCAAUGCCGCGUGUGUGAAGAAGGCCUUCGGGUUGUAAAGCACUUUUGUCCGGAAAGAAAUCCUUGGCCCUAAUACGGUCGGGGGAUGACGGUACCGGAAGAAUAAGCACCGGCUAACUACGUG